ACUGACAGCCAUGGUUACCGCGGCUGCUGGCACGGAGUUAGCCGGUGCUUCUUCUGCGAGUAACGUCACAGAUGUAAGGUAUUAACUUACACCCUUUCCUCCUCGCUGAAAGUGCUUUACAACCCGAAGGCCUUCUUCACACACGCGGCAUGGCUGCAUCAGGGUUUUCCCCCAUUGUGCAAUAUUCCCCACUGCUGCCUCCCGUAGGAGUCUGGGCCGUGUCUCAGUCCCAGUGUGGCUGAUCAUCCUCUCAGACCAGCUAGGGAUCGUCGCCUAGGUGAGCCUUUACCUCACCUACUAGCUAAUCCCACCUGGGCUUAUCCAUCAGCGCAAGGCCCGAAGGUCCCCUGCUUUCCCCCGUAGGGCGUAUGCGGUAUUAGCAGUCGUUUCCAACUGUUAUCCCCCACAAAUGGGCAAAUUCCCAGGCAUUACUCACCCGUCCGCCGCUCGUCAUCUUCAAAAGCAAGCUUUUGAAAUGUUACCGCUCGACUUGCAUGUGUUAGGCCUGCCGCCAGCGUUCAAU
rnacentral:rRNA from 1 species